rnacentral:rRNA from 1 species
AUUGAACGCUGGCGGCAUGCCUAACACAUGCAAGUCGAACGAGUGGCGGACGGGUGAGUAAUGUCUGGGAAACUGCCUGACGGACGGGGAUAACUACUGGAAACGUUAGCUAAUACUGCUUACCAUCACAUGUGCUCUGAUGGGAUUAGCUUGUUGGUGGGGUAACGGCUCACCAAGGCGACGAUACCUAGCUGGUCUGAGAGGAUGACCGGCCACACUGGAACUGAGACACGGUCCAGACUCCGACGGGAGGCAGCAGUGGGGAAUAUUGCACAAUGGGCGCAAGCCUGAUGCAGCCAUGCCGCGUGUAUGAAGAAGGCCUUCGGGUUGUAAAGUACUUUCAGCGGGGAGGCGUUACCCGCAGAAGAAGCACCGGCUAACUCCGUGCCAGCCGCCGCGGUAAUAC